rnacentral:rRNA from 1 species
GAUGAACGCUGGCGGCGUGCCUAAUACAUGCGAGUCGAGCGAACAGAUGAGGAGCUUGCUCCUCUGACGUUAGCGGCGGACGGGUGAGUAACACGUGGAUAACCUACCUAUAAGACUGGGAUAACUUCGGGAAACCGGAGCUAAUACCGGAUAAUAUAUUGAACCGCAUGGUUCAAUAGUGAAAGACGGUUUUGCUGUCACUUAUAGAUGGAUCCGCGCCGCAUUAGCUAGUUGGUAAGGUAACGGCUUACCAAGGCGACGAUGCGUAGCCGACCUGAGAGGGUGAUCGGCCACACUGGAACUGAAGCACGGUCCAGACUCCUACGGGAGGCAGCAGUAGGGAAUCUUCCGCAAUGGGCGAAAGCCUGACGGAGCAACGCCGCGUGAGUGAUGAAGGUCUUCGGAUCGUAAAACUCUGUUAUUAGGGAAGAACAAAUGUGUAAGUAACUAUGCGCGUCUUGACGGUACCUAAUCAGAAAGCCACGGCUAACUACGUG